UAGGGAAUCUUCGGCAAUGGGGGGAACCCUGACCGAGCAACGCCGCGUGAGUGAAGAAGGUUUUCGGAUCGUAAAGCUCUGUUGUUAAGGAAGAACGAGUGUGAGAAUGGAAAGUUCAUGCUGUGACGGUACUUAACCAGAAAGGGACGGCUAACUACGUGCCAGCAGCCGCGGUAAUACGUAGGUCCCGAGCGUUGUCCGGAUUUAUUGGGCGUAAAGCGAGCGCAGGCGGUUAGAAAAGUCUGAAGUGAAAGGCAGUGGCUCAACCAUUGUAGGCUUUGGAAACUGUUUAACUUGAGUGCAGGAGAGGAAAGUGGAAUUCCCAGUGUAGCGGUGAAAUGCGUAGAUAUUGGGAGGAACACCAGUAGCGAAGGCGGCUUUCUGGACUGCAACUGACACUGAGGCACGAAAGCGUGGGUAGCAAACAGG
rnacentral:rRNA from 1 species